rnacentral:rRNA from 1 species
UCAAUAAGCGGAGGAAAAGAAACCAACAGGGAUUGCCUUAGUAACUGCGAGUGAAGCGGCAAAAGCUCAAAUUUGAAAUCUGGCGCUUCUGGCGUCCGAAUUGUAAUUUGGAGAGAUUUCUUCGGAAUGAACACCGGUCUAAGUUCCUUGGAACAGGACGUCGCAGAGGGUGAGAAUCCCGUGUGUGGCUGGUUGUUUCAUUCCAUGUGAAGAGUCUUCGACGAGUCGAGUUGUUUGGGAAUGCAGCUCAAAAUGGGUGGUAAAUUUCAUCUAAAGCUAAAUAUUGGCGAGAGACCGAUAGCGCACAAGUAGAGUGAUCGAAAGAUGAAAAGCACUUUGAAAAGAGAGUUAAAAAGUACGUGAAAUUGUUGAAAGGGAAGCGCUUGAGACCAGACUCGAUUUAUGGUGAUCAGCAGUCCUUCUGGGCUGUGCACUUGCCAUUCUUCGGGACAGCAUCGGUUCUGACCGUGUGAUAAAGGUGUUGGGAAUGUGGCUCCUUUCGGGGAGUGUUAUAGCCCAAUGCGUAAUGACACGAGUUGGGACCGAGGACCGCGCUUCGGCUAGGAUGCUGUCAUAAUGGUCUUCAGCGACCCGUCUUGAAACACGGACCAAGGAGUCUAACAUCUAUGCGAGUGUUCGGGUGGAAAACCCUUGCGCGUAAUGAAAGUGAACGGAGGUGGGAACCUUUCGGGGUGCACCAUCGACCGAUCCUGAUGUCUUCGGAUGGAUUUGAGUAAGAGCAUAGCUGUUGGGACCCGAAAGAUGGUGAACUAUGCCUGAAUAGGGUGAAGCCAGAGGAAACUCUGGUGGAGGCUCGCAGCGGUUCUGACGUGCAAAUCGAUCGUCAAAUUUGGGUAUAGGGGCGAAAGACUAAUCGAACCAUCUAGUAGCUGGUUCCUGCCGAAGUUUCCCUCAGGAA